AUUGAACGCUGGCGGCAGGCUUAACACAUGCAAGUCGAGCGGGGGAAGGUAGCUUGCUACUGGACCUAGCGGCGGACGGGUGAGUAAUGCUUAGGAAUCUGCCUAUUAGUGGGGGACAACAUCUCGAAAGGGAUGCUAAUACCGCAUACGUCCUACGGGAGAAAGCAGGGGAUCUUCGGACCUUGCGCUAAUAGAUGAGCCUAAGUCGGAUUAGCUAGUUGGUGGGGUAAAGGCCUACCAGGGCGACGAUCUGCAGCGGGUCUGAGAGGAUGAUCCGCCACACUGGGACUGAGACACGGCCCAGACUCCUACGGGAGGCAGCAGUGGGGAAUAUUGGACAAUGGGGGGAACCCUGAUCCAGCCAUGCCGCGUGUGUGAAGAAGGCCUUAUGGUUGUAAAGCACUUUAAGCGAGGAGGAGGCUACUUUAGUUAAUACCUAGAGAUAGUGGACGUUACUCGCAGAAUAAGCACCGGCUAACUCUGUGCCAGCCGCCGCCGUAA
rnacentral:rRNA from 1 species